UACGGAGGGUGCGAACGUUAAUCGGAAUCACUGGGCGUAAAGCGCGUGUAGGCGGCUCGGUAAGUCUGCUGUGAAAGUCCAGGGCUCAACCCUGGGAUGCCGGUGGAUACUGUCGAGCUCGAGUCCGGAAGAGGCGAGUGGAAUUCCUGGUGUAGCGGUGAAAUGCGCAGAUAUCAGGAGGAACACCAAUGGCGAAGGCAGCUCGCUGGGACGUGACUGACGCUGAGACGCGAAAGCGUGGGGAGCAAACAGG
rnacentral:rRNA from 1 species